CGUAAGUAGUUUUAUUUUUUUGGUUGAAGCAGUAUUAUUGGGUUGUGAUUGGCUAGUUGAAGUAUUCAUUAUGAUGUGUUCAAUCCAAAAUCAAACAGUUUUUAGAGAGAAAAGAAAUGGAGUUUUAUCAUUUAUUUGAUAGAGAAAGGAGAAUAAGAAGAAGGGAGAAAUAGUUUCAAAUGGGAAAUAAUUGUGUUGGAUCAAG
rnacentral:misc_RNA from 1 species